CCCAGCUUGCUGGGUGGAUCAGUGGCGAACGGGUGAGUAACACGUGAGCAACCUGCCCCUGACUCUGGGAUAAGCGCUGGAAACGGCGUCUAAUACUGGAUACGAGUAGCGACCGCAUGGUCAGUUACUGGAAAGAUUUAUUGGUUGGGGAUGGGCUCGCGGCCUAUCAGCUUGUUGGUGAGGUAAUGGCUCACCAAGGCGUCGACGGGUAGCCGGCCUGAGAGGGUGACCGGCCACACUGGGACUGAGACACGGCCCAGACUCCUACGGGAGGCAGCAGUGGGGAAUAUUGCACAAUGGGCGCAAGCCUGAUGCAGCAACGCCGCGUGAGGGAUGACGGCCUUCGGGUUGUAAACCUCUUUUAGCAGGGAAGAAGCGAAAGUGACGGUACCUGCAGAAAAAGCGCCGGCUAACUACGUGCCAGCAGCCGCGGUAAUACGUAGGGCGCAAGCGUUAUCCGGAAUUAUUGGGCGUAAAGAGCUCGUAGGCGGUUUGUCGCGUCUGCUGUGAAAUCCGGAGGCUCAACCUCCGGCCUGCAGUGGGUACGGGCAGACUAGAGUGCGGUAGGGGAGAUUGGAAUUCCUGGUGUAGCGGUGGAAUGCGCAGAUAUCAGGAGGAACACCGAUGGCGAAGGCAGAUCUCUGGGCCGU
rnacentral:rRNA from 1 species